ensembl:lncRNA
UCACAUUAACACGAGAAGUCACCCAACCAGUUUCCCUCCCUGUGUCUUUGUUCAGCACCUGAUGUCACGGUCAGCCUUCUGUGGGUAUAAAACGACUGAAGAACAUCGACAAUUAAACAGUUGGACUCUGUGAGCAUCACAUUUUCUAUCUCAGGAGGGAAGCCACCGAAACCUUAAAGGAUCGUUCCACAAUGACGACCAAGAUCUUUGCCAUCCUGCUUCUGUUUGUUGCCGACACACAAACCACAACCACGGAUGCAGCCACUAGUACACCUGCUCCAACCACGGCCACAGCUGCUCCAACCACGGCCACAGCUGCUCCAACCUCGGCCACAUCUGAUCCAACCACAACCACAGCUGCUGUUCCAACAACAACCGCAACCACAGCUACGCUAACCACAACUACAGCUGCUCCAACCACAGCUGCACUAACCACAACCAAAGCUGCUACAACCACAGCUGCUACAACUACAACCAAAGCUGCUACAACCACAACCACAGCUGCUACAACCACAACCAAAGCUGCUACAACUACAACCAAAGCUGCUACAACCACAACUACAGCUGCUCCAACCACAACCCAAGCUGCUCCAACCACAACCAAAGCUGCUACAACCACAACCAAAGCUACACCCACGGCAGUAGUAGCGGGGGCAGUGGUUAAUGAAGUCAGCCUGGUUUCUGUCACAGUGGCCAUCAUCGCUGCUGCACUUCUAUAAAGAGCAACAUGUGACUGUAAUUAAUCUGCAAUGAACAGCAGACGUAUUUACAGUUCUAGCUCAUCUUUUCAUUUCCAGUCUGAUCGUGUUUUAUGUUUAUUUUUCAUCUUAUAUGAAAGUGUCGAAACGGAGGGGAUAAAUAGAAGUGUGGGAAAUGUAUCUUUGAUUCUAGAAGCCGGUAAAUAUGUGUACUUGCUCUGUAUAGUGUGCAUGUUCAAAAGGAUCCCAGAUUAUUUUCACAUGAGUUAAUUGCAUUCGUCCGAUCAGAGGGUCAGCAUUUAGAUGAAAUAUUUAACUACGAAAGAAAGAUGUUCAGUUGUGUAAAUAUUAUUGAUCUGAUCAUUUAUCCUAACUUCUGUCUGUUGUGUACUGUGAAAACAGCUGCAUUUAACACUAGAUUGUAGAAUUAAUCAAUAAAUGACAUUAACAACUGUAUUUCUGUAUUUUCAUUCUUUCUAAUUCAGUCGACUAACUUAAAAACAGGCUAUUUCUGUAUUAUUCUAUAUUAAAUGUAAUUUGUGUGAAUUUUUAGCAAGACCACAAAAAAUAUUUAUUGCACUGCUUCUGCUAUGUUCAUCUGUGCAUGUGUUGUAGACACUGGACAGGUUACAGGUAGGCUCAAAAAUGUCUCCAACCUUUUGUUCCUGAUGUUUUUGCCUUGAACUAAAUCAGAAGAGCCGUGUGCUGAGAAUAGAUGCAGAACAUAGGUGAGUUUCAUCACAACAUCCC